rnacentral:rRNA from 1 species
CGGAUUGUAGGCUGCAACUCGCCUACAUGAAGCUGGAAUCGCUAGUAAUCGCGGAUCAGCAUGCCGCGGUGAAUACGUUCCCGGGCCUUGUACACACCGCCCGUCACACCACGAGAGUUUGUAACACCCGAAGUCGGUGGGGUAACCUUUAUGGAGCCAGCCGCCUAAGGUGGGACAGAUGAUUGGGGUGAAGUCGUAACAAGGUAGCCGUAUCGGAAGGUGCGGCUGGAUCACCUCCUUU